CCUCUGGGGUAGCACUUAUUAGAUGGAAACCAACCCCUUCGGGGUGAUGUGGUGAAUCAUAAUAAACCUGUGGAUCGCCGGUGGCGAUGGAUCAUUCAAGUUUCUGCCCUAUCAGCUUUGGACGGUAAGGUAUUGGCUUACCGUGGCUUUAACGGGUAACGGGGAAUUAGGGUUCGAUUCCGGAGAGGGAGCCUGARAGACGGCUACCAC
rnacentral:rRNA from 1 species